rnacentral:lncRNA from 1 species
GUCAAGUUUUACCUAACAUGGUGAGUGCAUAAAAAGCCAAACACAUUUGUUAUCAUGAGCGAUAUUCAAGUAUGUCUUUAUCACUCUGACUUUGCGUAGGUUCUCUAGGAAUUUCACUACAUGUAUACAUACACUGAGACACGUUAUUUGAUUAUAGCCAUGAGCCUUUAUAGCCAUCCCGUUAAUGUUAUCUCUUGUUAACCCCAUUUGAACUUGUAUCCUUUGUUUGUCUAACCACAUAAAUGUAACAUGCAGCCCAAAACACUUCCUUACCCUAUUCGGAGUCAAUGUGAUAUCAUUAAGUUGUGUUAAAUUCUAAGUUUGGGGUAAACCCCAUAAGUAUGAAAAACCAAGGUGAGUACAAAAAAAACGACCAUAAAAAAAUUUGAGAAAAUGAAAUGUAGUUGAUGGUUCGAAAGAAGCACUCACCGAAAGAAGAGCACUGAGUUGAAAAAAAAAGAGAAUAUCAAAGAAAAACUGAGCAAUUGAAAAAGAAAAGAAUAAAAUAUAGUGAAAAUAAUAUUAACAUUGGCUCUGAACCCAUAACCACUUGUUUUCCUUUUUGUUUGUAUUUAC